UACAGAGGGUGCAAGCGUUAAUCGGAAUUACUGGGCGUAAAGCGUGCGUAGGUGGUUCUUUAAGUCAGGUGUGAAAUCCCUGGGCUCAACCUGGGAACUGCAUUUGAUACUGAAGAGCUAGAGUGUGGUAGAGGAUAGUGGAAUUCCCGGUGUAGCGGUGAAAUGCGUAGAUAUCGGGAGGAACAUCAGUGGCGAAGGCGGCUAUCUGGACCAACACUGACACUGAGGCACGAAAGCGUGGGUAGCAAACAGG
rnacentral:rRNA from 1 species